rnacentral:rRNA from 1 species
UUGAUCCUGGCUCAGGAUGAACGCUAGCGGCAGGCUUAACACAUGCAAGUCGAGGGGUAGAAGUCUUCGGACUUUGAGACCGGCGCACGGGUGCGUAACGCGUAUGCAAUCUGCCUUUCACAGAGGGAUAGCCCAGAGAAAUUUGGAUUAAUACCUCAUAGUAUAACACAACCGCAUGGUUGAGUUAUUAAAGUCACAACGGUGAAAGAUGAGCAUGCGUCCCAUUAGCUAGUUGGUAAGGUAACGGCUUACCAAGGCAACGAUGGGUAGGGGUCCUGAGAGGGAGAUCCCCCACACUGGUACUGAGACACGGACCAGACUCCUACGGGAGGCAGCAGUGAGGAAUAUUGGACAAUGGGCGCAAGCCUGAUCCAGCCAUGCCGCGUGCAGGAUGACGGUCCUAUGGAUUGUAAACUGCUUUUGCACAGGAAGAAACAGCUCUACGUGUAGAGUCUUGACGGUACCGUAAG